rnacentral:rRNA from 1 species
AUGCCAAGACUCAUCUUUCUUGAUCUCGGACAAAAUCAGUUCUCUGGGACUUUACCAGCAUGGAUGGGGGAGAAGCUAUCAUCUUUGUCAUUCUUAAGACUGAGAUCCAAUAUGUUUUAUGGUCACAUUCCAGUCGAGCUUACAAAGCUUGUUAAUCUUCAAUACUUGGACCUUGGCUACAACAAUAUUUCGGGGAGCAUACCGAGAUCGAUUAUUAAUUUUACAGGCAUGACACAAACAAGAGACAACACUGAUGAUCUUCGGAAUGCAUUAACUUCUGGAGUAUUUAUUGAUGACAAUGACCUGGUUGACUAUUCUGAGAAUUUAACAGUACUCACGAAAGGUCAAGAGAGAUUAUAUUCAGGAGAAAUCAUAUAUAUGCUGAAUCUUGAUUUAUCCUGUAAUAGACUUACUGGAGAGAUUCCUGCAGAAAUCAGCACUCUUUUAGCACUGAAGAGCCUGAACUUAUCAUGGAACAACUUCGAUGGAAAAAUCCCUGAGAAUAUUGGCACCUUAAUGCAAGUAGAGUCACUCGACUUAUCACACAAUGAGUUGUCUGGUGAAAUCCCUUCAAGCUUGUCGGAUCUCACAUCAUUGAGUCGCCUGAACCUGUCCUACAACAGUCUGGGAGGAAAGAUACCAACUGGAAAUCAACUGCAAACACUUGAAGACCAGGCAUCUAUUUAUGUUGGCAACCCAGGUCUCUGCGGCCCCCCUCUCUCGCGGAGGUGUCCACAGCCCAAGCCAAUUCCAGAAGGAAACCAUGGAGAUGCAAGUGACGACGUGGUUUCGUUUUUCCUUGCCAUGGGGUCCGGAUAUGUGAUGGGUCUCUGGGUGGUGUUCUGCACCUUCUUGUUCAAGAAGAGAUGGAGAGUUUCGUGGUACUCACUCUGCGACAGCUUGUAUGACUGGGUUUAUGUGCAAGUGGCUGUUACCUGGGCUUCCUUGAGAGGUAUCGUACUAGAACUAGUCAGGAUAUGUAUUCAAGGUGCAUACCAUCGACUGUCCAUGCCAUCGAGCGAGGCGAGAAGCGGAUUCAUGAGAUAG